AUUGAACGCUGGCGGCAGGCCUAACACAUGCAAGUCGAGCGAGCGGCGGACGGGUGAGUAAUGUCUGGGAAACUGCCUGAUGGAGGGGGAGAACUAAUGGAAACGGUAGUAAAAACCGCAUACAAACAGAUGUGCGCAGAUGGGAUUAGCUAGUAGGUGGGGUAACGGCCCACCUAGGCGACCAUCCCUAGCUGGUCUGCGAGGAUGACCAGCCACACUGGAACUGAGACACGGUCCAGACUCCUACGGGAGGCAGCAGUGGGGAAUAUUGCACAAUGGGCGCAAGCCUGAUGCAGCCAUGCCGCGUGUGUGAAGAAGGCCUUCGGGUUGUAAAGCACUUUCAGCGGGGAGGCGUUACCCACAGAAGAAGCACCGGCUAACUCCGUGCCAGCAGCCGCGGUAAUAC
rnacentral:rRNA from 1 species